rnacentral:rRNA from 1 species
UGGGGAAUCUUGCACAAUGGAGGAAACUCUGAUGCAGCGAUGCCGCGUGAGUGAAGAAGGCCCUUGGGUUGUAAAGCCCUUUCGUCGGGGAAGAAAAUUACUGUACCCGAAUAAGAAGGUCCGGCUAACUUCGUGCCAGCAGCCGCGGUAAUACGAAGGGACCUAGCGUAGUUCGGAAUUACUGGGCUUAAAGAGUUCGUAGGUGGUUGAAAAAGUUGGUGGUGAAAUCCCAGAGCUUAACUCUGGAACUGCCAUCAAAACUUUUCAGCUAGAGUAUGAUAGAGGAAAGCAGAAUUUCUAGUGUAGAGGUGAAAUUCGUAGAUAUUAAAAAGAAUACCAAUUGCGAAGGCAGCUUUCUGGAUCAUUACUGACACUGAGGAACGAAAGCAUGGGUAGCGAAGAGGAUUAGAUACCCUCGUAGUCCAUGCCGUAAACGAUGUGUGUUAGACGUUGGAAAUUUAUUUUCAGUGUCGCAGCGAAAGCGAUAAACACACCGCCUGGGGAGUACGACCGCAAGGUUA